AUUGCACGCUGGCGGCCGGCCUAACACAUGCAAGUCGAGCGGAGCGGCGGACGGGUGAGUAAUGCCUAGGAAUCUGCCUGGUCGUGGGGGAUAACGUCCGGAAACGGGCGCUAAUACCGCAUACUAUCAGAUGAGCCUACGUCGCAUUAGCUAGUUGGUGUGGUAAAGGCCUACCCAGGCGACGAUCCGUAACUGGUCUGAGAGGAUGAUCAGUCACACUGGAACUGAGAAACGGUCCAGACUCCUACGGGAGGCAGCAGUGGGGAAUAUUGGACAAUGGGCGAAAUCCUGAUGCAGCCAUGACGCGUGGAUGAAGAAGGUCUUCGGAUUGUAAAGCACUUUAAGUUGGGAGGCGUUACCAACAGAAUAAGCACCGGCUAACUUCGUGCCAGCAGCCGCGGUAAUAC
rnacentral:rRNA from 1 species